rnacentral:rRNA from 1 species
UACGUAGGGUGCAAGCGUUAAUCGGAAUUACUGGGCGUAAAGCGUGCGCAGGCGGUUUUGUAAGUCUGUCGUGAAAUCCCCGGGCUCAACCUGGGAAUUGCGAUGGAGACUGCACGGCUAGAGUGUGUCAGAGGGGGGUAGAAUUCCACGUGUAGCAGUGAAAUGCGUAGAUAUGUGGAGGAACACCGAUGGCGAAGGCAGCCCCCUGGGAUAACACUGACGCUCAUGCACGAAAGCGUGGGGAGCAAACAGG